rnacentral:rRNA from 1 species
AUUGAACGCUGGCGGCAGGCCUAACACAUGCAAGUCGAACGGUAACAGGAAACAGCUUGCUGUUUCGCUGACGAGUGGCGGACGGGUGAGUAAUGUCUGGGAAACUGCCUGAUGGAGGGGGAUAACUACUGGAAACGGUAGCUAAUACCGCAUAACGUCGCAAGCCCAAAGAGGGGGACCUUCGGGCCUCUUGCCAUCGGAUGUGCCCAGAUGGGAUUAGCUAGUAGGUGGGGUAACGGCUCACCUAGGCGACGAUCCCUAGCUGGUCUGAGAGGAUGACCAGCGACACUGGAACUGAGACACGGUCCAGACUCCUACGGGAGGCAGCAGUGGGGAAUAUUGCACAAUGGGCGAAAGCCUGAUGCAGCCAUGCCGCGUGUAUGAAGAAGGCCUUCGGGUUGUAAAGUACUUUCAGCGGGGAGGAAGGGAGUAAAGUUAAUACCUUUGCUCAUUGACGUUACCCGCAGAAGAAGCACCGGCUAACUCCGUG